UACGAAGGGGGCUAGCGUUGUUCGGAAUCACUGGGCGUAAAGCGCACGCAGGCGGAUUGAUAAGUCAGGGGUGAAAUCCUGGAGCUCAACUCCAGAACUGCCUUUGAUACUGAGAGGCUCGAGUCCGGGAGAGGUGAGUGGAACUGCGAGUGUAGAGGUGAAAUUCGUAGAUAUUCGCAAGAACACCAGUGGCGAAGGCGGCUCACUGGCCCGGUACUGACGCUGAGGUGCGAAAGCGUGGGGAGCAAACAGG
rnacentral:rRNA from 1 species